GACCCAGUGGUGAAAUGAAACCACGCCCGCACGUUGUAUCCUCGUUCGUUCUUCGUUGAACCGUGGAAGUCCCCUGUUCGAACCAGGGCUGGGUUA